rnacentral:rRNA from 1 species
GACUAUCUUUACGCCACGUUGAAUACACCAGUUCUCGUCAGCUCACUGAAGUUAAGCGACGUCGGGCGUGGUCAGUACUCGGAUGGGUGACCAUCUGGGAGAUCACGUUAUGUUGAUUU